rnacentral:rRNA from 1 species
UUCUGGCUCAGGAUGAACGCUGGCGGCGUGCUUAACACAUGCAAGUCGAACGAGGCUUGCCAUCGGAAGUUUCGGAUGGAAGAAGGCAAGACCGAGUGGCGGACGGGUGAGUAACGCGUGGGGAACCUGCCCCAUUCCGGGGGAUACCAGUUGGAAACGAUUGUUAAUACCGCAUAAGCGCACGGCAUCGCAUGAUGCAGUGUAAAAAACCACGGUGGAAUGGGAUGGCCCCGCGUCUGAUUAGCCAGUUGGCAGGGUAACGGCCUACCAAAGCGACGAUCAGUAGCCGGCCUGAGAGGGCGACCGGCCACAUUGGGACUGAGACACGGCCCAAACUCCUACGGGAGGCAGCAGUGGGGAAUAUUGCACAAUGGGGGAAACCCUGAUGCAGCCGACGCCGCGUGAGUGAAGAAGUAUUUCGGUAUGUAAAGCUCUAUCAGCAGGGAAGAAGAUGACGGUACCUGCACAAGAAGCCCCGGCUAACUACGUGCCAGCCGCAGC